rnacentral:rRNA from 1 species
AAGAGAUAAGGUGUUCAUAGGAUAGGAGUGUAGGGACAGUUGUCACCAAAUUAAAACCGAGAAAACUAAAAUGUCCACGAGAAACGACACGACACCAUUUGUCACUUCAACUCGUUGACAAAUCUGAAGUCUGAAGUCACAAGUCUGGUUCGUUUAACCGAAGUCUGAAGUCAAGCACUCCACGAGAAACGACACAACACCAUUGGUCACGUCAACUCGUUGACAAGUCUGUAGUCUGAAGUCUCAAGUCUGGUUCGUUUAACCGAAGUCUGAAGUCAAGCACUCCACGAGAAACGACGCAGCACCACUGGGCAGUCGUCAACUCGUUAACAAAUCUUGAAGAUUGUCGGGGUAUGAGGCUCCUCCUUCAAUCUUUCCACCGAAAGGAUUACCUCGUAUUGUUCAGGCCUACCAAAAGGGUACCUCAAGAUAAUCUUGAAGUCCCUUCAGUAGUUUGGCCUAGAGGAUGAAAACAAAUCGCUGGAUGUACAACCAGUUGAUCUUAACAAAACGAAUUUGAAACCACUCUAAUAAAAUAUUGGAUUCCAAUUACUCCGACUUUCCUAUGUUGUUAUAUCUGGAUAAACGGAGAAUUUACAAUCUAAAUUUUAUAACUACUUCCAACGCUGAUAAUCCGAUUUAAGCCAACAACUUGUACACCAAGCCGGAAGUGUCUGUUUAAAAUACGUUCAGUCCUUGUAGGAUCUACCUCAACAAUAGGACGUACCUUCUCAGGUACUUAACGUGGCCUUUUUCAACUUACCUCACCAUGAGUUUUAUCUGAAACUUUCCGAAUACUGUUUCAGUUCACCGGGAAAGAAGUUGUCUGAGAGUCUUACUUUCCUAAAAAAACGUCUCACCGCGCGAUACUAGGUAUCGAAACAACGACCUCCAUCAUAACGGUAAUUCUAGUUACUACUGUUGCAACUUGUGAUAAAGGUUUGCUUCUUCCCUAACACUGUUCCACUAAGCAAUAGCGGGUACGAUAAGUUAUAUCACUGCCUAUACGAUCGCCAGUACUGACUCGCACGGUUCCAACUACAGGUUUAACUACCCCAUCAAUUAGUAGAUCGAUCAACUACCACCAGAGAGAUAUGAAGUUUACGGCUGCUAUACUAAGAGAAGUAUCUAGUACUGGAGCUCUUUCGCUCUUUAGACUUUGACUAAAAUAGUCGUAAGUUCGUUUAGAGUCCAGAAUUCUAGUUAAAAGUAUCUUCACUUAACAAAAAGAAGCCGCUCCGAGUUCUGCUCCGGGUGGACAUACG